UAUAGCAUGGCCCAUUUCAGGUACUGUACCACCUUCUAUAGCAUGGCCCACUUCAAGUACUGUACCACCUUCUAUAGCAUGGCCCACUUCAGGUACUGUACCACCUUCUAUAGCAUGGCCCAUUUCAGGUACUGGACCACCUUCUAUAGCAUGGCCCAUUUCAGGUACUGUACCACCUUCUAUAGCAUGGCCCACUUCAAGUACUGUACCACCUUCUAUAGCAUGGCCCAUUUCAGGUACUGUACCACCUUCUAUAGCAUGGCCCACUUCAAGUACUGUACCACCUUCUAUAGCAUGGCCCACUUCAGGUACUGUACCACCUUCUAUAGCAUGGCCCAUUUCAGGUACUGUACCGCCUUCUAUAGCAUGGCCCAUUUCAGGUACUGUACCGCCUUCUAUAGCAUGGCCCAUUUCAGGUACUGUACCGCCUUCUAUAGCAUGGCCCAUUUCAGGUACUGGACCACCUUCUAUAGCAUGGCCCACUUCAGGUACUGUACUUUCCCACCUGGACAGGUCUGACACCCUGUACCAAUACUUUAUCAAAUGAACCCUUCUUUCCUAACUUACUUGUUGAUCACUCAUCUGUAUGUGUUUUGAAGUAAAUUAACUCUGCUACACAGUAAGUUCCUGUGGGAGGGGUCUCAGAGAGUGGGUGUGUCCUUCAGUCAGGAAACAAAACUGGAAAGUUCUGCCUUCAUCAGACCAGACGGGUCAGUGGUGCUUACCAUCCUCAACAGGUCGUCGUCAGAGGUCCAGUUUGAGGUGUAUGAUCCUGCUGUGGGUUUCAUCUCCUCCAGUGCUCCAGCCCACUCCCUGCUCACACUCGCUUGGAACACACUCUGACCGCACUGGAAUGGAACACACACCUUUACUGCCAGGGCCAAAGCAUUGUCACAAUCCCCACUACCAGGUCUGCUACAUUUCCACCACUACACACUCAACUCCCACCACCAUCCGAAGCCCAAUGUGUUGCCUCCUCAGAACAGCAUAUCUAAUAGAUAACCUGCAGCAUCGUGGGCUCUGGCAUUUCUGGGAUCAGAGCUUGAAAUGUGUGUGUGGUUUAGCCAAUACAGCCAAAUAUGUUGCAUGUUCCUAUGUAUGCUGUGACUAUCUGCACUGAUCUUUAUCACGCUGGGAGAAGCUCUGGAAUGUGUGAAUAUAGCAUGUGAUCAAACCAGGACCAGGUACACUAACUACUAUGAUCAGACACUGCUGCUGUUUGAGACGGUCUGACCAUUACACUGCUAACAACCGUUUCUAAACUGA